GUUGUAAAUCAGGAGGAGUUAUGGAGGAUAGUAUAAGAGCCAAGAGACAGAUUUGUAAAGAUACUUAGGUGCCUACUGGGAUUUUCAAAAAUACUUUGGUGCCUAACACCAUUGAUUUAUUUUUAAAAUGGCCACCCAUAGCCUGCCUGUCUGACUGCAAACGCUGAUAGGUUUGGAGAUGGGAAAGCUCCGAGACAGAAAUUAAGAGACUUUUAUAGAUAGCAGAAGGUUUUGCAGGUCUUGAUCAUCCAAAGACAGAUGAUUAUCUUUACACAUCUAAGUCUGUGAGAUCAAGUCCACCUUAUGGCAGUGAAGGAAAAAAACCCCACAUACUUGAUAUCAAUGUUAUUGCAUAAAUUGGAUGGCAGGAACUCAGUAUUCAGACUGGAAGACAAAAAAAAGCUUUUCAUCUUUGCAGUGCACUCAGACCUUCUGAGUUUGUUAGAGCAAGUUUGCAUUUGAACUUGGACCUCUUUCAUGGCAGCAUAUUGCUUUUUAAUUUACAUCUCUCUUACGUUGCCUGAUGUUCUUUGGUUCCCGAUGCUCUGUUUGCUCCUGAGCUCCUGUAUGUUUCUGUAUUUCCCUCUGAAGUAACAGAAGACCUACAGCAAGGAGUGAUUGCUGACUCUGCUGUGAUGAAAGCAUCUGCCUCAGAUAACUGCCAGCCACUAGAGCGGGCACUACGUUGAACCCAUGUUGCCAGAUCAGUGCAAGGAGGCAUGUUCUUUCUCUCUGCAAAUAAACUGAGUUGGGUGGUCUUGGAAGAAGUGUGUUUUGAAAUAGGAGACCAAAGGCUCUGUGCCCAGGCUGUUCAAGGAGUUAAAUGAAGUGGUGUCUG